UUCAAAUUUUAUCUCAACAGGACAGAAUAGCAAUCCAACUCUGAUACAUCAGCUAACAUACGUCUGUGCUGAACAACAUCACACUGAGAGUGAUGAGGGAAGAGAGACCCAUCUACCCACCCAGACAGAGCACAGCCAAUUGUGCUCUCUCUCUCUCAGACUCCGGCUGCUGAUGACCCGGGAUUCAAACCAGCGAUCCUCAGAUCAUAGUGACAGCGCCUUAAUCUGCAGGACCACUCUGAGUUCAUUUCGAAUUGACUCAGACUGGGGCUAUGCGGUGAUGGACGAGGAAAACGUGAUGCAGCUUGUAUUUCAAACUUCAUACUGCAGGCAAGCAGGACGACGAUGAUGAUGAUUGUCCUGGAACAUGAGCCUACCACAGGACAACAGUGUAAACCAAGGCUGCGAGAAUGUGAGGAGCAGGAUGAUGAUGGUGAGUGUGAUGAUGCGGCUUUGGAGGAGGAAGAUGCUCUGCUGGAGCUGCUGAGAAGCCCACUGUCACCCUGGAGAGAGGAAUAUUCCUGGAGUCCUCAGGCCUUAGCCUUGAGAGAACUGGCAGUGAAGACUCCAGAAAUUCUUAAAGACAACUUCAUUUAUUCAUUCUUCACAGUUCUGCGCAUUGUAGACAAGAGGGUGAGUUUUAUUUAUUUAUUUAUUUAUUUAUCGAGUUCAUUUGUUUUACUUUUCUCUCUUUUAGUUUAGACU
rnacentral:lncRNA from 1 species